CCUACGGGUGGCUGCAGUAGGGAAUAUUGGGCAAUGGACGAAAGUCUGACCCAGCCAUGCCGCGUGCAGGAUGACUGCCCUAUGGGUUGUAAACUGCUUUUCUAUGGGAAGAAACACUCAUACGUGUAUGAACUUGACGGUACCAUAGGAAUAAGGAUCGGCUAACUCCGUGCCAGCAGCCGCGGUAAUACGGAGGAUCCAGGAGUUGUCCGGAUUCAUUGGGUUUAAGGGGUACGACUAAGUACGACUAGAAAGCUUGCGGCUCAACCGUAAAAGUGCCUUUGAAACUGGUAGUCUUGAGUUCGGUCGAGGUGGAUGGAAUGUGUCAUGUAGCGGUGAAAUGCUUAGAUAUGACCCAGAACACCAAUUGCGAAGGCAGUUCACUAGACCGAUACUGACGCUGAGGCACGAAAGCGUGGGGAGCGAACAGGAUUAGAUACCCGAGUAGUC
rnacentral:rRNA from 1 species